AUUGAACGCUGGCGGAAUGCUUUACACAUGCAAGUCGAACGGCAGCACGGGGGCAACCCUGGUGGCGAGUGGCGAACGGGUGAGUAAUACAUCGGAACGUGCCCAGUCGUGGGGGAUAACGUAGCGGAAGCUACGCUAAUACCGCAUACGAUCUACGGAUGAGAGCGGGGGAUCGCAAAACCUCGCGCGAUUGGAGCGGCCGAUGGCAGAUUAGGUAGUUGGUGAGGUAAAGGCUCACCAAGCCGACGAUCUGUAGCUGGUCUGAGAGGACGACCAGCCACACUGGGACUGAGACACGGCCCAGACUCCUACGGGAGGCAGCAGUGGGGAAUUUUGGACAAUGGGCGCAAGCCUGAUCCAGCCAUUCCGCGUGCAGGAUGAAAGCCUUCGGGUCGUAAACUGCUUUUGUACGGAACGAAACGGCCUGGGUUAAUACCCUGGGCUAAUGACGGUACCGUAAGAAUAAGCACCGGCUAACUACGUGCCAGCCGCCGCCGUAAAAC
rnacentral:rRNA from 1 species